GCGGAGGUUCCCAGCAGCAGAGCAGGCGCCUACAAUGGUGCCAAGGCAACCGGAGGGGGUGGCGGCCCACCCCCUCGCACCACCCCAGAGCCAGCUGGCCUAAGGAACAUCCCUCCCAGGACUCACUCACACCUAUUCUCCAACUCUGCCUACCUGCUCAAUUCACCUGAUGCUCUGCCAGUGGAUUGCUGAUGUCUCUACAUUGAUUCAGAUUUGCACCCACAUCUGAAAAUGGUCAGCAGGCAGGGACCCUCUGUCACCACAGGUGGAGGAAGAGGAGAUGAAAGAGCCUUGUCUGACACCCUGGAGACUGCAAGAAGGCCCUUGCCAGAUGUGGGCCCCUCCAUCUUGGACUUCCCAGCUAGCCUCCAGAACUGGAAACUACCCAGACUGUGUCCUCUCCCUCUUACUCUCCUAAAGGAAGACAAGGAAGACAAUGACAAAUGGCGUUUGCAGCAAAGCAACACCAACAGCCAACUUGAUGCUCAAGAGAGAACGCUAUGCCUCUUCCUCAUGGUUUCCAGUGCUCUACACAUUCUGAGAAACUUUUCUGGUAAUAAACUAUAGAAACAAUGAGACUGUGCCCAUGGGAGAGACCCCAUCUCUACAAAAAAUACAAAAAUUAGCCAGGCGUAGUGGUGUGCACCUGGAUUCCCCAGCUACUUGGAAGGCUGAGAUGGGAAGAUCACUUGAGCCCCGGAGGUUGAGACUGCAGUGCGCCAUGAUCACGCCACUGUACUUCAGCCUCAGUGACAAAGCGAAAGCCUGUUUCAAAAAAAAAAAAAAGACAGAGAGAAACGGGCUGGGGACGGUGGUUCACACCUGUAAUCCCCGCACUUUGGAAGGCCGAGGCAGGUGGAUCACUUGAGAUCAGGAGUUCGAGACCAGCCUGGCCAACAUGGUGAAACCCCGUCUCUACUAAAAAUACAAAAAUGAGCAAGGCAUGGUGGUGGAUGCCUAUAAUCCCAGCUACUCAGAAGGCCGAGGUGGGAGAAUCACUUGAAUCCCAGGAGACAGAGGUUGCAGUGAGCCGAGAUCGCGCCACUGCACUCCAGUUUGGGCAACAGAAUGAGGCUCCAUCUCAAGAAACAGAAAAAGGGAAAUGAUCCCUGAAAGUACACUCUUUUGUUGUAGUUUUUAUUUGCAUUUUGCUAACGAUUAGUGAUGUUGAGCACCUUUUCAUGUGUUUAC
rnacentral:lncRNA from 1 species